CCAUUCUCUGUUGAUUGAUUUUGGAAACGACGAGUGGUUUCCGAGAUGUUUAUUCGUCGAGUGGGUCUGUGAAUGUGAUGAUCGGAGUAUAACCACCAGCUGAAGAAGGAGGCGACAACGCCGCCGCGGCCGCCACUCUAUCGCCGGAGGAUUCUUAUUCUCCCAACAAGUCAGUGAGAGUAGCAGAGCUCGACUUAGCUCUGGAUCUUAGCAUUGGUAGGAAUCACUCAAAGGUAAUUAGUGGAAUCAAUAAGUCAUCAAGUUGUGGGCUGGAGCCAGGGAACCCACUCUCUGUCAGAAACGGAUUCACCAUCAUCAAAGCAUCCCUGUUUCAUUUCAUUUGGGAAGAGGUUAGUAUACUUUUCUUUUAAGAGAAUGUAGGUAUCGAUUAGGUUUGGAAUUAAAUGGAAUUUAGUGUUAUGGUUUGUGUUAGUUGCAGUGAAGUGAUUGCCAUUAGUUUGAGUUGCGGUGAAGUGAUUGCCAUUAGUUUGUAUCGUGUCUGAGUUAAUGCUUUGUUGAGUCUGUAACAUUAAGACCUAAGACGUACCUGAAGAUUUAUUUGAGGUUUACAGCAUAAACCAUUUCCUGAGAUAAAAGUGAAAUAUAUUGAAGAAUGAUACAUUUGAAGAACUUUCAGUGAAAGAGUAUUAGCAAAGGUGAUUACAUGAUCAUAUACUUAACUAUGAGUAUCUAACGUCCUAAACUAUGACAAUUAUGAUCAGUGUACAUUUCGAAUAGUAAGGCAAGCAAACCAAUCAAAAAAUGAUCACUAAAACAUAUUGAAUACCAUAUAAUCAGGCUGCAUUUGCACAGGGUCCAAAAAAAAUUGCAAUUUUUAAAUUAAAAUUUAGAGUAUUUUAUAGAAGUUUAAGAUUUUUUUUUGUUUUAAUCGUUCGUAUAAAAUGAAGAUUUGAACAGGGUGAGACAGGCCUGCAUAUAAUGAGCUAUAAUAUCUAAAGCAGAUGGAUAAUGCCUAGCUUGAUAUGAGAGUUUAAGAAAAGGCUAAGUUGAAAUGAUAAUAAAAAAAUUUACCAAUUGAGAUUUCUUGAACAAUAGCCGGAACCACUUUACCGGCAUAAGAAUUUCCGGUGACAUAGAAAGGAUUGUAGAAAUACUCAGGAUGCUUGGCUAGCCACUGCACAAGAAUCAGCCAACAACAAUAACAAAACCACAAAAAGGUCUAUGCACAAAGACAUUAAAAAAACACUUGAAACAGUUUGAGUUUUUUUCUUCCUUUACUUUAUGAACAAACUCAGGGACCAGCUUAGCUGAUCUUGUGUCACUUGGUAUAUUAGCAAGUGGGUUUCUUGAGUAAGAGAAGCCAGUGCCAACAGGCUGAUCCAAAUAGAUUAUAUUAGCCACCUGAACAAAAAAAAAUAAGCAGAUCAUCUAAAAACUCUGAAGAUGACCAAAGAGUGUUCUGUGUUAUAUGAGUAUAUACUUUGUGUUAACCUUAGACCAUGAAUAUGUAGUAGAGACCAAUGAUGGGAUGUUUCCACUGUCAGACUCAGUAUUGAAAGCCAGAGGUCCUGCAUGUUUCUCAAAUUGAAAACCAAGCCAUCAAACGAUUUCUACGGAGAGAAUAAUUUUAGAUAAUUACCAUUCUCAAGAAGAAAGGCAGAGAUAGAAGAGCAGCCAGGUCCUCCGGUUAACCAGAUAAGAAGAGGGUCUUCUGCUGGGGUUCUCUCAGAUUUGAUGAAGUAGUAGAAAAACUGGCUUUCCUCUGCCUCACCAACACCAAUGUACCUGAAUGAUACUUAACUUAAAAGAAAAUCACAACACAGAUUCAUUAUUUAAAAGACAUGUAUGGGAGAUGAGUUGGUGAAGAGGGACAGAACCCGGUUUCAAGCUCGAAAGGAAGAGGGCCUUGGUAACCUGGAAGAUAUCUGACUGUAGAUUCUCCUGAAUAAGCAUGCACAAGAGGAAGAAGAGGCAGCAGCAACAACUUGUUCCCCAUCAAUUGUUUUUUUUGUUUUUUCUGCGUUAGAACUUAGGACGAAAACAUUUAUAGAUUUAAAUAAAAUGAGAUGCUGCUGGAGUUAAUACAAAAAGGAAUUUGGGAUGGCA